rnacentral:rRNA from 1 species
UACGUAAGGGGCUAGCGUUGUCCGGAAUCAUUGGGCGUAAAGAGCGUGUAGGCGGUCCGGUAAGUCCGCUGUGAAAGUCGGGGGCUCAACCCUCGAAUGCCGGUGGAUACUGUCGGGCUAGAGUGCGGAAGAGGCGAGUGGAAUUCCUGGUGUAGCGGUGAAAUGCGCAGAUAUCAGGAGGAACACCAAUUGCGAAGGCAGCUCGCUGGGACGUUACUGACGCUGAGACGCGAAAGCGUGGGGAGCAAACAGG